AUUGAACGCUGGCGGCAGGCCUAACACAUGCAAGUCGAACGAGUGGCGGACGGGUGAGUAAUGUCUGGGAAACUGCCUGAUGGAGGGGGAUAACUACUGGAAACGGUAGCUAAUACCGCAUACCAUCGGAUGUGCCCAGAUGGGAUUCGCUCGUGGGGGGGGUAAAGGCUCACCUUGGCGACGAUCCCUAGCUGGUCUGAGCGGAUGAACGGCAAACCGGGAACUGGGACACGGUCCAGACUCCUACGGGAGGCAGCAGUGGGGAAUAUUGCACAAGGGGCGCAAGCCUGAUGCAGCCAUGCCGCGUGUAUGAAGAAGGCCUUCGGGUUGUAAAGUACUUUCAGCGGGGAGGCGUUACCCGCAGAAGAAGCACCGGCUAACUCCGUGCCAGCCGCCGCGGUAAUAC
rnacentral:rRNA from 1 species